rfam:Dipodomys ordii contig_12633, whole genome shotgun sequence.
GGUGGCUCAGGGGUAGAGUGCUUGCCUUGCAUGCAUGAGGCCCUGGGUUCAAUUCCUCAGCACCA